CUUAGCUCAACUGGAUAGAGCACCUGCCUUCUAAGCAGGGGGUUUCAGGUUCGAGUCCUG
rnacentral:ncRNA from 14 species